UACAGAGGUCCCAAGCGUUGUUCGGAUUCACUGGGCGUAAAGGGUGCGUAGGCGGACUAUUAAGUCAGGGGUGAAAUCCUGGAGCUCAACUCCAGAACUGCCUUUGAUACUGAGGAUCUUGAGUUCGGGAGAGGUGAGUGGAACUGCGAGUGUAGAGGUGAAAUUCGUAGAUAUUCGCAAGAACACCAGUGGCGAAGGCGGCUCACUGGCCCGAUACUGACGCUGAGGCACGAAAGCGUGGGGAGCAAACAGG
rnacentral:rRNA from 1 species